rnacentral:ncRNA from 1 species
UAUAAAACUGUGAAGGAUAAAAGUAGCUUAAUUUAGUUAAAUAUAGAGAAUAGACUACUGGUGGAAUGUCUAUAACUUAAUUUAAAGUGAAUUACAUAUCUAGAGUUUCAAUAGCAAUUACUAUUGCGUCUUAUUCCACGUUACGGAAAACUUGAGGCUUUAUGCAAAUUAAGGUGGUACCACGGGUGUUUCUCGUCCUUUUA